rnacentral:rRNA from 1 species
UACGGAGGGGGCUAGCGUUGUUCGGAAUUACUGGGCGUAAAGCGCACGUAGGCGGCUUUGCAAGUUAGAGGUGAAAGCCCAGGGCUCAACCUUGGAAUUGCCUUUGAUACUGGCUAUCUUGAGUAUGGGAGAGGUAAGCGGAACUCCGAGUGUAGAGGUGAAAUUCGUAGAUAUUCGGAAGAACACCAGUGGCGAAGGCGGCUUACUGGCCCAUUACUGACGCUGAGGCUCGAAAGCGUGGGGAGCAAACAGG